CAGGAUCCGCAUUGUCCACUUUAUCCUGAGUCAUGUCUUCCUGAAUACAGGAGAGAACCUGUUUGAACUCUUGAAGAAGAAAGUGUUCGAAGCAAAGUUCUGCCUGCAUGAGAGAAAAACUCAGAAGGAACUGAGGAAA